rnacentral:tRNA from 1 species
AAUAGAAUGCCUGAUUCAAAAGGAUUAUCUUGAUAGGAUAAAUAAUGCAAUUAAUUGCUUCUAUUA